UACGUAGGGUGCGAGCGUUAAUCGGAAUUACUGGGCGUAAAGCGUGCGCAGGCGGUUUUGUAAGCCAGAUGCGAAAUCCCCGGGCUUAACCUGGGAAUGGCAUUUGGGACUGCAAGGCUGGAGUGCGGCAGAGGAGACUGGAAUUCCUGGUGUAGCAGUGAAAUGCGCAGAUAUCAGGAGGAACACCGAUGGCGAAGGCAGGUCUCUGGGCCAUAACUGACGCUGAGAAGCGAAAGCAUGGGGAGCGAACAGG
rnacentral:rRNA from 1 species